AUUGAACGCUGGCGGCAUGCCUUACACAUGCAAGUCGAACGGUAACAGGCCGCAAGGUGCUGACGAGUGGCGAACGGGUGAGUAAUGCAUCGGAACGUGCCCAGUCGUGGGGGAUAACUGCUCGAAAGAGCAGCUAAUACCGCAUACGACCUGAGGGUGAAAGCGGGGGACCGUAAGGCCUCGCGCGAUUGGAGCGGCCGAUGUCAGAUUAGCUAGUUGGUGGGGUAAAGGCCUACCAAGGCAACGAUCUGUAGUUGGUCUGAGAGGACGACCAGCCACACUGGGACUGAGACACGGCCCAGACUCCUACGGGAGGCAGCAGUGGGGAAUUGUGGACAAUGGGCGCAAGCCUGAUCCAGCAAUGCCGCGUGCAGGAAGAAGGCCUUCGGGUUGUAAACUGCUUUUGUCAGGGAAGAAAUCUUCUGGGCUAAUACCCCGGGAGGAUGACGGUACCUGAAGAAUAAGCACCGGCUAACUACGUGCCAGCAGCCGCCGUAAUAC
rnacentral:rRNA from 1 species